GAUGAACGCUGGCGGCGUGCCUAAUACAUGCAAGUCGAGCGAACAGAUGAGGAGCUUGCUCCUCUGACGUUAGCGGCGGACGGGUGAGUAACACGUGGAAAACCUACCUAUAAGACUGGGAUAACUUCGGGAAACCGGAGCUAAUACCGGAUAAUAUAUUGAACCGCAUGGUUCAAUAGUGAAAGACGGUUUUGCUGUCACUUAUAGAUGGAUCCGCGCCGCAUUAGCUAGUUGGUAAGGUAACGGCUUACCAAGGCAACGAUGCGUAGCCGACCUGAGAGGGUGAUCGGCCACACGGGAACUGAGACACGGUCCAGACUCCUAAGGGAGGCAGCAGUAGGGAAUCUUCCGCAAUGGGCGAAAGCCUGACGGAGCAACGCCGCGUGAGAGAUGAAGGUCUUCGGAGCGUAAAACUCUGUUAUGAGGGAAGAACAAAUGUGUAAGUAACUAUGCACGUCUUGACGGUACCUAAUCAGAAAGCCACGGCUAACUACGUG
rnacentral:rRNA from 1 species